UCGUGGCCCCAAGUCAGGCGAGGCCACCCGCCGAGUUUAAGCAUAUAAAUAAGCGGAGGAGGAGAAACUUACGAGGAUUCCCC
rnacentral:rRNA from 1 species